CAAUCUGCACCAAGAGCACACCGUCGAUUAAGGACUCAAUACGUGAAUGAUUUUCUGGCACAAUAAAUCAUGCUGCGUUCGCAGGAAGCCGUAACUGCACUUUCUUCCAACACAGUAAUCCAAAAGCAGCAAAAAGCUAAUCAAGUGUGUUCAAUGUUCUCAGGACUGUGCGAAGGAUUUCGUCUAUGGAUAAUGCUGAUGAGAAAGAGGGUUAUGUCACUAAUUAGGUGCAUGACAGUCCUGCAAGUCUCGCCGUUUCAAUGAACCGAAAAGAUCCAACCU